rnacentral:rRNA from 1 species
AGGACGAACGCUGGCGGCGUGCUUAACACAUGCAAGUCGAGCGGAAAGGCCCUUCGGGGUACUCGAGCGGCGAACGGGUGAGUAACACGUGGGCAACCUGCCCUUAGCUCUGGGAUAGCUCCGGGAAACCGGAAUUAAAUACCGGAUAUGACCUAGGCCGACAUCGGCCGUGGUGGAAAGUUUUUCGGCUAGGGAUGGACUCGCGGCCUAUCAGCUAGUUGGUGGGGUAAUGGCCUACCAAGGCGACGACGGGUAG